UUACCAAUGAAGUGGUAAUAUUAGAUACGAUUUUGCUCUGCGUACGAUGAGAACCAUGUACGAUUUUCAUACGACGUGAUCUCACUCGUCCCUGGGAUUGAAUGAACGGCUGGUGAUGAUUGUCGUAUGGAAAUCGUAUAAAAUGCAUCGUACGUGUAGCAGGACUCUAUUAGAUAUGGGUAAUUGCGUCAUGGAUAAUUAAUUAAUUAUUGGCUCGUAUUAACUCUGGAGCAUCUUCAAAUUUCUCAGUUAUGUUUUCUAAAAGUUUUCCCUUUGGUAUAAAUGAGAAGCUAGAAAACAAUAUUUGUUUGCUGGCAAGUAAAUAUGGUCCCCCUUCUGUAACUUCUUAGUGUAUUCUGUUUCUUUCAUGGGAGUUCAAUUAGACACAGUCGUUGUUGCUUUUGUAUGCUGGAACUUAGCCAAAGGAGGUUGCUUGGUUGAUAUAUUAUCUUAAAAAGUUCUACUGAGAAUUUGGAAUGAAGUGCUUGAUUGGAAAUCCCUAAGCAAAACUUUGGUACUGCUUCAUUGGAUAUCGGUUACAUUAUGAUGUAUUGCAAAUUUUUGUACUACUUAUUUGAUGAAUUAAUGCUUCUACAUAUUUGUAGGUUGUGUUAGUUGACUUUGUUGAAAGAAAUGAAUAAUUUGAAAAUAGCUGGCAUGUUCUCUUAAUCAAGAUUAUUUCUUGGUGUAGAUUAUAUGAUUAUUAAUGCAGGUCCAUGCUCUACUCUGAUGGCUGAGGUUGGAUACACUUGCUACAUGUUUAUUUAAUUUUAUUCUACUGGAGGAUUCAAACUCUAGACUGAUGAAGUGGUGCAUUUUGAAUUUUCUUCUUAGAUAUUGUGAAUGUUCUACUGAAGGUAUCAAUAAUAAUACAUACUUUACAUAGUCAAGAUUCAUACUUUCCUUAUUACAUGUUGGUUUAUAUCCCCUACAUAUGUGAUGUGUGUUUAGCUUAUCGACUAUUCUUAAGUGAAUCUUAUGUGGUAUUGCAGGACUAACUUUUCUUUAGACAAUUUUGUAAUCUUUAGUUCAUUUUGGGUCAUUUCCAUUGCCUGUUAGUGUUUUUCGCUAGAGUGCUUUGCAGGCAGUUGUUUGAAAUAGAACCUUCCAGCCAUCUUACUUCUCCAAUAGUACUUUCUUGUUGAGUUUGGCUGGACGUUCUCCAAAGUAAAUUUGGGAGAACAAUAAACCAUACUUUCUAUGUUUUGAAACUAGAGCUGGCCAUGAUUAAUUCUUUUCAAGUUGAUAGUCUAUCAGAGUUUGAAUUUGCUUUUGUAUAGCAAUAUGGAAGUAUAUUAUUUCAUCAUAUUUUCCUAAAGUAGCUUCUGAUUUGUUCACAUUUGUAGAACUACACAAUCUGCACAUUCCUUCUCUUCUCCUAAUCAACUUCAUCUCAAAUUAGGCUUUAUCCCCUGAUUAGCAUUCUGAGCUACUCAAAUUUCUUCGCCCACAUGUUUGAUUUUGGUUUUUGUUUAGACAUGACAAACGUUUGCAAGUUAUAGACGCCACGCCUGCCGCUGUCGGGGAGCUCCUGCCUGCGCUGCAAGCCUCAUGACCUUGCAAACUCGCUCGUGUUGCUUAAACGAUAUGGCCUCUCCCUACUCAGGAUGGACUGCUUUGUGCAGAUUCACUCUUCUUUGCCUGAAGGCUCCUGUGUAUCCAGGACCAGCACAAGGAAAAUUCUGGGAUGAAGAAAAAAAAGCGAAAAUGCAAAUAGAUGAGAAAUCCUAACUUAUUCCUUUGGCCAUUUCUGUAGCCAAAGCUAUUGGCUGGCCAACACAAAGGAGCUGAAAUUUCAUAGCGACAAAAAUAGGUGCUGGAGGUACCAUGCAAGCAAGCAUGGCGACCGUGAUCAUGCUGCAGUGGCUGGGUAUAUCCCCUCCCGCUAGCUGAGGAUGGUGUCGGUGUACUAGAGUAGGGGUACCCUAGUAUCCCGAACUCGUGCACGGUCAGUUGCAGCGCCCCGCGGCAAGGCUUGCCGGGUGACCGCCAAGACCCUCCGUGGUUCCCUUGAAGACCAUUCAAGAACAAAG